UACGGAGGGUGCAAGCGUUGUUCGGAUUUAUUGGGCGUAAAGGGCGUGUAGGCGGUUUGUUAAGUCUGAUGUGAAAGCCCUGGGCUCAACCCGGGAAGGGCAUUGGAAACUGGCAGACUUGAGUACGGGAGAGGGCAGUGGAAUUCCUAGUGUAGGAGUGAAAUCCGUAGAUAUUAGGAGGAACACCGGUGGCGAAGGCGGCUGCCUGGACCGAUACUGACGCUGAGACGCGAAAGCGUGGGGAGCAAACAGG
rnacentral:rRNA from 1 species